rnacentral:rRNA from 1 species
CACGGGGGGAGCAAGCGUUGUUCGGAAUCACUGGGCGUAAAGGGCGUCUAGGCGGUCAGAUAAGUGGGAUGUGAAAUGCCCCGGCUCACCCGGGGACCGGCAUCCCAAACUGUCUGGCUUGAGUAUGGGAGAGGAUGUGGGAAUUCCUGGUGUAGCGGUGAAAUGCGUAGAUAUCGGGAGGAACAUCAGUGGCGAAGGCGGCUACCUGGCCCAAUACUGACACUCAGGUGCGACAGCGUGGGGAGCAAACAGG